rnacentral:sRNA from 1 species
UAGGCUUGUCACGUUGGUGCUCAUUAU